rnacentral:rRNA from 1 species
GACGAACGCUGGCGGCGUGCCUAAUACAUGCAAGUAGAACGCAGUUGCGAACGGGUGAGUAACGCGUAGGUAACUGCCUCAUAGCGGGGGAUAACUAUUGGAAACGAUAGCUAAUACCGCAUACUGUGAGAUGGACCUUCGUUUUAUUAGCUAGUUGGGGAGGUAAAGGCUCACCAAGGCGACGAUACAUAGCCGACCUGAGAGGGUGAGCGGCCAAGCCGGGAUUGAGACACGGCCCAGACUCUUACGGGAGGCAGCAGUAGGGAAGACUCGGGGAUGGACGGAAGGCUGACCGAGCAACGCCGGGGGAGUGAAGAAGGUUUUCGGAUCGUAAAGCUCUGGUGGGAGAGAAGCGGUAACUAACAAGAAAGGGACGGCUAACUACGUGCCAGCAGCCGCGGUAAUUC